UACGGAGGGUGCAAGCGUUAUCCGGAUUUACUGGGUUUAAAGGGUGUGUAGGCGGACUUUUAAGUCAGCGGUGAAAUCUCCGGGCUCAACCCGGAAACUGCCAUUGAUACUAUUGGUCUUGAAUGUUGUUGAGGUGGGCGGAACGGGUCAUGUAGCGGUGAAAUGCAUAGAUAUGACCCGGAACACCGAUUGCGAAGGCAGCCCACUAAGCAAUGAUUGACGCUGAGGCACGAAAGCGUGGGGAGCGAACAGGAUAGAAACCCUGGAGCCAG
rnacentral:rRNA from 1 species